rnacentral:tRNA from 1 species
UCCAAUGUGGUGUAGUGGCUAACAUUGCUGUCUUUCAUAUUUUCUCUUGAUCACAGCAGCCCGGGGUUCGAUUCCCCGCAUUGGAA